UGGGGAAUAUUGGACAAUGGGCGAAAGCCUGAUCCAGCAAUGCCGCGUGUGUGAAGAAGGUCUUCGGAUUGUAAAGCACUUUCGACGGGGACGAUGAUGACGGUACCCGUAGAAGAAGCCCCGGCUAACUUCGUGCCAGCAGCCGCGGUAAUACGAAGGGGGCUAGCGUUGCUCGGAAUGACUGGGCGUAAAGGGCGCGUAGGCGGUUGAUGCAGUCAGAUGUGAAAUCCCCGGGCUUAACCCGGGAAGCUGCAUUUGAUACGCAUUGACUAGAGUUCGAGAGAGGGUUGUGGAAUUCCCAGUGUAGAGGUGAAAUUCGUAGAUAUUGGGAAGAACACCGGUGGCGAAGGCGGCAACCUGGCUCGAUACUGACGCUGAGGCGCGAAAGCGUGGGGAGCAAACA
rnacentral:rRNA from 1 species